rnacentral:rRNA from 1 species
CAGCAGCAGCCACGGUAAUACAGAGGAUGCAAGUGUUAUCCGGAAUGAUUGGGCGUAAAGUGUCUGUAGGUGGCUUUUAAAGUCUGUCGUCAAAUCCCAGGGCUCAACAAUAGACAGGCGGUGGAAACUACCAAGCUUGAGUACAGUAGGGGCAGAGGGAAUUUCCAGUGGAGCGGUGAAAUGCGUUGAGAUCGGAAAGAACACCAAUGACAAAAGCACUCUGUUGGGCUGACACUGACACUGAGAGACGAAAGCUAGGGGAGCAAAUGGGAUUAGAUACCCCUGUAGUCCUGUCUCUUAUACA